UACAGAGGUCCCAAGCGUUGUUCGGAUUCACUGGGCGUAAAGGGUGCGUAGGUGGUGAGGUAAGUCGGAUGUGAAAUCUCUAGGCUCAACCUGGAAAUGGCAUCGGAAACUACCUUGCUCGAGGUUUGGAGGGGGGACUGGAAUACUUGGUGUAGCAGUGAAAUGCGUAGAUAUCAAGUGGAACACCAGUGGCGAAGGCGAGUCCCUGGACAAAACCUGACACUGAGGCACGAAAGCUAGGGGAGCAAACAGG
rnacentral:rRNA from 1 species